rnacentral:rRNA from 1 species
CCGCCGAAGGCCGGGAGUAACUCUGACUCUCUUAAGGUAGCCAAAUGCCUUGCCGGGUAAGUUCCGGCGUGCAUGAAUGGAUCAACGAGGUCCCCACUGUCCCGGCCCGGGGCCCGGCGAACCUGCCUCCUGGUGCAAAGACCAGGGACCCCCGGCGGGGCGAGAAGACCCCGUGGAGCUUUACUGCAGCCUGCCGCUGAGGUACGGUUGCUGAUGCGUAGCGUAGUCGGGAGCCCUUGAACCACCCUCUCCGGGGGGUGGGGAGGCGCCAAUGAAACACCGACCUUCAGCGACUGUAUCUCUAACCAGGGCAACCUGGGACAACGGCAGGUGGGCAGUUCGGCUGGGGCGGCACGCCCUCGAAAAGAUAUCGAGGGCGCCCAAAGGUCGGCUCAGGCGGGUCAGAAACCCGCCGUAGAGGGCAAGGCCAAAAGCCGGCCUGACCGAGCCCUUGAAAGCAAGGGGCUCGGCGGCGAAAGCCCGGCCUAGCGACCGCUCAUGCCCCCCUCGGUGGGGGCUGGGCAUGACAGAAAAGUUACCCCGGGAGUAACCGGCUCGUCGCGGGUGAGAGCCCACAUCGACCCCGCGGAUUGGUACCCAGACGUCGUCUCUUCCCAUCCUGGGAGUGAAGCAGCUCCCAAGGGUGGGGCUGCCCGCCCAUUAAAGGGGAACGUGAGAUGGGUUUAGACCGUCGUGAGACAGGUCGGUUUCUACCUGCCGGGGGCGCUGGCCGCCUGAGGGGAAAGUGCCCUCAGUACGAGAGGAACGGGGCGCUGCAGCCUCUGGUCUAUCGGCUGUCCGUCAGGGCAUAGCCGAGCAGCUACGCUGCAGGGGAUAACCGCUGAAGGCAUCUAAGCGGGAAGCCCUCCCCGAGACGAGGCGGCCACUCCACGGCUACGCCGUGGACGAGGGCUCCCCUAGAAGAGGGGGUUGAUGGGGUGGGGGUGUAAGCGCCAAGGCUUCGGCCGAGGCGUUCAGCCCGCCACUCCCAAUCGCCCAAGGU